ensembl:lncRNA
UUCUGGAUGGAUACUGCAUUCUUCUUGAGCUGUCAUUGGAAAGGGCUUUUGAACUGGGAUAUGUGCAAAGAAGAAAUCGCUCUAUUCUGGUGUGGAGUGUUUGUCACAAUUGCAUGAUGGAUGAUGGUCCUUUAGCUUUUAUAUUAUAUAAACCAAAACAGUUCUUCCACAGCUUUAUGUUCAGACUUUAAUGCUUGGACGGCAACUGUUUGCAUUUCCCUGGUGGAAGCCUCCAGAUGAGACGAGUGCUAAGAAGUGAACUUUUUAUGUUCAGCUGGACAAAUUGUCAUUCCUAUCGAGUGCUCGUGCUUGAGCUACAGAAGGCAUUUGACACCACUGGACUUUAAAGCUCUUUCUGAGGAGUAUCACAACCCGGCCUUGAGAGAUCUGCAGUUUUGGAGUGUUUCAGGUUUUUAAGAGGUACUUCGAUUACAUGAGGUAGUGAGUAAGGAUGAAGUGAAGGAGAAGUAACAAAGAAAGGGCUGCAUAUUUUCUGCUUUACAUGGUCGUGAAUGAGAUCUGCUCUGAGCACCAGGAGCAAUGUUGCCAGAGAUCAGCACACCACCCAGGGGAUGCCAAUUGUAGGUGUGCAGAAAUAAUGGUGUGACUCAAGACUGCUUUGACAGGCAAAUCCAUCUGAAGUCUGGGCAUAUCUAUCUAUUGGCUGGAAAAAAAGUUGAACCGUUUGUGUAAGAAAUAACAAUUCACACAAGUUCCUAACAUGAAUGAGCACAUACAAAGUAUGAAAAACUGUUCUACAGCUUCAAGUGUGACAGCUUGUUCAGCAAGGUGCUACAUAGUAUAAUUGCUCUGUAAAGGGAGUAGAUGUUUUGUCUUUGUUUUACUUUUUAUUGGAUGCUCGAGGUGGUUAUGUAGUCUGCAUCUACUACGCAUUAUGUACUGGUUACAUGCCGGUACUGCCCAGUUAUGCCUGACCAACUCCUCUUUGCUGUGGUUGUUUCUCUUCCACUCUCCCCACCUUGAAAGCCUCAGACAUCCAAGCCAGAGCUAUUUCAGUAACUGCAGCUAUGCCACUGAAUUGUAACUUUCAUUUUAUGUUGGGGAACUAAUCUGAGAGAUGCCUAAUGAUCCCAGGAGAAGGAUCUCCCAGCACAGCAUAAUCUAAUGGAUAUUUAGAGUGGCAAUCUAGCAGGGACAACAAAUGAAGCAGUGCUGGAAAUCCAUGGUUGCAACAGCAGCUCAAAUUUAAAACGUUUCUGCUCCCUGUAUCUGCAUUUCACACAGCUAUCAGUAUCAGCUUAUUCUGUAAGCUUAGCUGGCUCUUCUCUUCCUCCUCAAAAUCCCUCCCAGAAGCUCCUUGCUGCAGCCCUGUUUGCCAAUUAGCCUCUGCUUCUGUUGUGUGCAGCUAUGGCUUAGGAAAAAGCAGUACUUUUUUUAUUCCAUCUGUGGAACAAACUGCCUUGUGCUUCUGUUCCACCCAAGGGGAGGAUCUUUGGCCCCCUAAAACUGUUUGGCUUCCUUCCACCCAUGACUGUACCAUGGGUGUAGGUCAAACCUGCCAUGCCAUUCUGUUGUUAGCCUACCAACGCAGGGCAUCUGCAUUCCUACUGACACGUGGUUGAGGAUGUCUGGCAACAUCUUUGCUUCCAAAGCAUGCAACAGACUCAUUACUUUCUCUCCUUCCGGAAAAAUAAAGUCAGGAAAACCUCUUGUUUCACACUGAGCUGUGCAGGAUGUUGGAAGCUCCUUUUGAGCCAUCAUCUCACAGGCUGUAUGGCUGCCUUCUUUCUUCUUAAGAGUAACUGGGGACCCUGAAGUGGAGACUGAGUCUCUCCUUUCAUUUGGUUGUAUUGGGUGAAUUACCUACUUUGGAGCCUCAUGGAAGAGGUGUUGUAAAUGAAAGCAGCUUUUGCAUGUUUUUAUUUUUCUUCCCAGAAAAUCUCUUACCCAUUUCACACCUGGUCAUUUUCAUGUCCAUAACCUGAAAAACAGUCCAAGUAGCACAUAGUGAACUUCAUUAUUAGCAUACGUGGUAAAUCACAGUGCAAGAGUUAGAUUUGGUUUUGCAAUUGGAAUACAUACAUAUCUAUCCAUAGCUUUAUGGUCUGGACAUUAGAGAAGAAUUCAUCCAGAUGGAUGGAGAAGGGAAAUCACUUGUAAAUUGCAAAUGAAAAUGUCUCAGUCUCUAUAGAUUUGGCACAGAAAUAGGAGCAGUGGGAAAAAGCAGCUUAUUCACCCUUUAAGGUGAAAAGAAAGCAUGUUCCCAAAAUAUAUUAAAUCACAGAUCUAGUCAUAUACUCUUCCAUGUUACAUGAUAGAUUCAUUUCUGUUCUUUUAAAACCAUCCUUUUGUGGUCCAUUAGACCAGCUUACCAACUGGGUUGCUGGUAGGUUAAAUUUGUAGUUGUAAUCUCUUGAUGUUAAAACAAUCUUUUUUCUUGAACUUGCAGGCGCAGAGCCAUGUCUUUCAGUAUGCUACUAUUAGUAGGCAAAGAACUAUAAUUUGCAUAUUGGAAAAUGAAGUGGGGAGAUGUUUAACGUUCACCGUUAGUUUUUAAUUAAGAAAUUAAUACGAUGAGCCAAUAAGACCUUUAAUUCUGUGUCUGUACUAGAUACUGAUACCAAUAAAUUCUUUGUAUUUCUUUUU